CCUACGGGAGGCAGCAGUGGGGAAUUUUCCGCAAUGGGCGAAAGCCUGACGGAGCAACGCCGCGUGGGUGAUGAAGUCUUUCGGGACGUAAAACCCUUUCAGCAGGGACGAACACAAUGACGGUACCUGCAGAAGAAGCAUCGGCUAACUACGUGCCAGCAGCCGCGGUAAUACGUAGGAUGCGAGCGUUGUCCGGAUUUAUUGGGCGUAAAGCGAACGUAGGCGGUUUCUUAAGUUUGGUCUUAAAGACCGGGGCUCAACCCCGGGAAUGGACUGAAUACUGGGAGACUAGAGGAUGUUAGAGGAAAGUGGAAUUCCAAGUGUAGCGGUGAAAUGCGUAGAUAUUUGGAGGAACACCAGUGGCGAAAGCGGCUUUCUGGGACAUUUCUGACGCUGAGGUUCGAAAGCUCGGGGAGCAAACAGGAUUAGAUACCCUGGUAGUCCGAGCCGUAAACGAUGGACACUAGGUGUCGGGGGGUAUCGACCCCCCCGGUCGCCGUAGCUAACGACGUUAAGUAGUCCGCCUCGGGGAGGUACGGUCGCGAAGACUGAAACUUAAAAUAGAAUUAGACGG
rnacentral:rRNA from 1 species